CAGCUGCUCUUCCUCGCUUUUUUUUUUUCUCUCUCCUCUUCCUCGCUGUGCUUGGCGGAAGUGAGCCGCCAACCAUAGAGCGGCGGGAAGGAGAGGGAGAAGCUUACGGGUCGUUCUUUGGGCCAAGCGGCUUCACAAAUCGUUUUGUUUUUGGGUUUUUUUUUUUUUCCCUACCCCUUUUGCUGGGGAAGAGCCAUGCCUCGCUAUGCCCAGCUGGUGAUGGGGCCUGCGGGGAGCGGGAAGAGCACCUACUGCUCCAUCAUGGUCCAGCACUGUGAGACCCUCAACCGUUCCGUGCAGGUGGUGAACCUCGAUCCGGCAGCGGAACACUUCGACUACGAUGUCAUGGCAGAUAUCCGAGAGUUGAUUGAGGUGGACGAUGUCAUGGAAGAUGAUUCCCUUCGGUUU